AGUGAACGCUGGCGGCGUGCUUAACACAUGCAAGUCGAACGAGAACGGAAUAUAGCUUGCUAUAUUUGUCAGCUAAGUGGCGCACGGGUGAGUAAUGUAUAGAUAACCUGCCCUUAAGAAAGGAAUAACAGUUGGAAACGACUGCUAAUGCCCUAUAUGCCUUUAAUACAUAAGUAUGCAAGGGAAACGCUUUAGUGCUUAAGGAUGGGUCUGUAUGGUAUCAGCUUGUUGGUGAGGUAAUGGCUCACCAAGGCUAUGACGCCUAACUGGUUUGAGAGGAUGAUCAGUCACACUGGAACUGAGACACGGUCCAGACUCCUACGGGAGGCAGCAGUGGGGAAUAUUGCACAAUGGACGAAAGUCUGAUGCAGCAACGCCGCGUGGAGGAUGACACAUUUCGGUGCGUAAACUCCUUUUAAGAGGGAAGAUUAUGACGGUACCUCUUGAAUAAGCACCGGCUAACUCCGUGCCAGCCGCCGCAGUAAAAC
rnacentral:rRNA from 1 species